UACAUAGACUGCAAGCGUUAUUCGGAUUCACUGGGCGUAAAGGGUGCGCAGGCGGCCGUGUGUGUCAGGUGUGAAAGCCCGGGGCUUAACCCCGGAAUUGCGCCUGAAACUACAUGGCUAGAGCAUUGGAGAGGGUAGCGGAAUUCACGGUGUAGCAGUGAAAUGCGUAGAUAUCGUGAGGAACACCAGAGGCGAAGGCGGCUACCUGGACAAUUGCUGACGCUCAGGCACGAAAGCGUGGGGAGCAAAAGGG
rnacentral:rRNA from 1 species